rnacentral:rRNA from 1 species
GAUGAACGCUGGCGGCGUGCUUAACACAUGCAAGUCGAACGAAGCACUUUAACUUGAUUCUUCGGAUGAAGGUUUUUGUGACUGAGUGGCGGACGGGUGAGUAACGCGUGGGUAACCUGCCUCAUACAGGGGGAUAACAGUUAGAAAUGACUGCUAAUACCGCAUAAGACCACGGAGCCGCAUAGCUCAGUGGGAAAAACUCCGGUGGUAUGAGACGGACCCGCGUCUGAUUAGGUAGUUGGGGGGGUAACGGCCUACCAAGCCAACGAUCAGUAGCCGGCCUGGAAGGAUGACCGGGCACACUGGGACUGAGACACGGCCCAAACUCCUACGGGAGGCAGCAGUGGGGAAUAUUGCACAAUGGGGGAAACCCUGAUGCAGCGACGCCGCGUGAGCGAAGAAGUAUUUCGGUAUGUAAAGCUCUAUCAGCAGGGAAGAAAAUGACGGUACCUGACUAAGAAGCACCGGCUAAAUACGUGCCAGCAGCCGCUGUAA